rnacentral:rRNA from 1 species
AUGCCCGGAGAUUUUAGCCAGUGGAUAAUGAAGCAUUACGACCCAGAGAUUUUGCAGAUAGUCAUUCCAGAAAGGGGGAAGAUUCCUGUAGAUGCCGCAAGUGUCCGUAGGAUAUGGGGUUUGCCCAGCAGGGGCAGAAAGGUGUGCUUCGAGAAUCGGCCUGAAAUCACAAAGGCAAUGUACAAUAUUUACAACAUCACAUCGAAGAACUCCCCAACCCUCACAGAAUGGUGCAAGAUGAUCGUAGACAUGGGAGGAUCUCAUGAUGAUGACUUUGUCCGCGCUUGGCUAGCUCUUAUUUUUUCGUGCUUCCUUGCCCCUUCAACUAGUUUGAGCAUUUCCCCAAAGAGUUUCCCGACGGUCAUGGAUGUCAAUGGAAUAACAGAAACCAAUAUAUGCCAGUUUGUUGUUGAUCAAUUAAAGCUUGCGUUCACUUUGGGGCGUGCCAACAAGAAGGCUGUUUGUUGUUGUGUUUUCCACCUUGUUGUAAGUGCUUCAAGCUGUUUUGUUUUUUUAAGCAUCAAUUGUUUACUUAUCUUUUGUUUUCUUUUUGCAAUCAUUAGCUAA